rnacentral:rRNA from 1 species
UACGUAGGGGGCAAGCGUUGUCCGGAAUCAUUGGGCGUAAAGCGCGCGUAGGCGGCCCGGUAAGUCCGUUGUGAAAGUCAAAGGCUCAACCUUUGAAUGCCGAUGGAUACUGCCGGGCUAGAGUCCGGAAGAGGCGAGUGGAAUUCCCAGUGUAGCGGUGAAAUGCGUAGAUAUUGGGAGGAACACCGGUGGCGAAGGCGGCUCACUGGACCGGAACUGACGCUGAGGCGCGAAAGCGUGGGGAGCAAACAGG